CGGUGAAUACGUUCCCGGACCUUGCACACACCGCCCGUCAAGCCAUGGAAGCUGGGUGUACCUAAAGUCGGUAACCGUAAGAAGCCGCCUAGGGUAAAACUAGUGACUGGGGCU
rnacentral:rRNA from 1 species